rnacentral:misc_RNA from 1 species
GCUGGACAGUGCAGAGCAGGCAGGGUUUCACUGUGUCAAUCAAGCUGAAGUGCAGUCAUGGACGAGUGCGAACUCCUUUGCGAGGCGUCGAGGAACGGUGACAUAGAAAAGGUGACAGCUCUCAUAAACUCCGGAGCCGACAUUUCCUACUUUGGCAACGACGGCUUCACUCCGCUCAUGCACGCGGCCAAGCUCGGCCACGCCGCCGUCGUCAAGGCGCUUCUGGAAGCCGGUGCCCCCUGGAACGCACUCUCUCCUUCUAAUAUCUCCGCUGGCGAUUUAGCCAUGGAGGAAGGUCACCAGGAGGCCUUCGAAAUUCUCCUCAAUGCUGGAAUUCAAUCUGAGUUGAUCUUAGGAACCAUUGCAAGGAAGGAGAAUGAAAAUGGCCAUGCUAAUGGGGAUUACUUGGAAGAUAGGGUUACUUUCAGCGAGGAUAAGCUGAUGGACUCUGAUAGCAAAGCUGUCAUGAUGGCCUGGGAGAAACCACUAAUGGAGGCACAUGCCAAGGCUGUUUGCUCAGGAGGUGGCCACAUACUAAACAUUGGGUUUGGAAUGGGCCUUGUGGAUACAGCUAUUCAACAAUACAAUCCAACUACUCACACAAUCGUAGAGGCGCAUCCAGAGGUCUAUGAAAGGAUGCUUGGCGCUGGUUGGGGCAAGAAAGAUAAUGUAAAGAUAAUUUUUGGCCGGUGGCAAGAUGUUCUUUCUCAGCUUGAAACUUAUGAUGGUAUUUUCUUUGACACAUAUGGAGAGUAUUAUGAGGAUCUGAGAGGGUUCCACCAACGCCUUCCUGAGUUAUUGAAGCCUGGAGGAAUAUACUCAUUCUUCAAUGGACUUUGUGGAGGUAAUGCAUUUUUCCAUGUUGUUUACUGUAAUUUAGUUUCUCUAGAACUAGAAAAUUUGGGCUACCACACACAGUUAAUUCCCUUGCCUGUUAAGGAUUGUUUGGAGAAAGAAGUUUGGGAAGGUGUGAGACAAAAGUAUUGGCAGCUUGAUACGUAUUACCUCCCCGUUUGUCAGUCUGUACAAGAUUCUGAAUGAUAAUCUUAUUAAGCUGUCACUUUUCUCCUCUUUUAGUUAGGGCUAUUGAAUAUUUGAAUUAUAGUUGGUGAUUCAGUAUCUUUGAAACUUCUAUUAUCCAUCAUCGUUAAAGAGCUUGUUGGGUUGUUUACUGCAUUGGAUGUUAUUAAUUUGAGCUUAUGGUGGUAUUGAAACUUGCUAUGAUUGGGUCGAGAAUGAAUUUUAGCCCACCAUACACAGACAAAUGUAUUAGCUAGAUAAUAGAUACAUUAAUUGUUUUUGCUAUGAGUUUACUAAUAUUACACGAGUUGUGUUCGAUUUUGCUGACAUUAAAUUUGGAGAGGGCUAAAUAUGAUGAAAGUUAGAAACCUGCAAGAGAGUUCCACAAGCAUGCUUAGAGUUAAGCCAUAGGUUCUAUGUUUCAAGUCUCAUGUCAACUAGAAAAAGGACACAGUUGCUAAUUUUACCCUACUGAAACAAAUGAGAUCAUC